rnacentral:rRNA from 1 species
AUUGAACGCUGGCGGCAGGCCUAACACAUGCAAGUCGAGCGAGCGGCGGACGGGUGAGUAAUGUCUGGGAAACUGCCCGAUGGAGGGGGAUAACUACUGGAAACGGUAGCUAAUACCGCAUACUAUCGGAUGAACCCAUAUGGGAUUAGCUAGUAGGUGGGGUAAGGGCUCACCUAGGCGACGAUCCCUAGCUGGUCUGAGAGGAUGACCAGCCACACUGGAACUGAGACACGGUCCAGACUCCUACGGGAGGCAGCAGUGGGGAAUAUUGCACAAUGGGCGCAAGCCUGAUGCAGCCAUGCCGCGUGUGUGAAGAAGGCCUUCGGGUUGUAAAGCACUUUCAGCGGGGAGGCGUUACUCGCAGAAGAAGCACCGGCUAACUCCGUGCCAGCAGCCGCGGUAAUAC